UACGUAGGGCGCAAGCGUUGUCCGGAAUUAUUGGGCGUAAAGAGCUCGUAGGCGGUUUGUCACGUCGGCUGUGAAAACCCGAGGCUCAACCUCGGGCCUGCAGUCGAUACGGGCAGACUAGAGUGCUGUAGGGGAGACUGGAAUUCCUGGUGUAGCGGUGAAAUGCGCAGAUAUCAGGAGGAACACCGGUGGCGAAGGCGGGUCUCUGGGCCGAUAUUGACGCUGAGGAGCGAAAGCGUGGGGAGCAAACAGG
rnacentral:rRNA from 1 species